rnacentral:rRNA from 1 species
UACGUAGGGGGCAAGCGUUGUCCGGAGUUACUGGGCGUAAAGCGCUCGCAGGCGGUCUGGUAAGUUUGGAGUGACAGUCAUCGGCUUAACUGAUGAAGUGCUUCGAAAACUGCCCGACUUGAGGGCUUCAGAGGGACACGGAAUUCCGGGUGGAGUGGUGAAAUGCGUAGAUAUCCGGAGGAACACCAAAGGCGUAGGCAGUGUCCUGGGAAGCAACUGACGCUCAUGUGCGAAAGCUAGGGGAGCGAACGGG